rnacentral:rRNA from 1 species
UAUUGGACAAUGGGGGAAACCCUGAUCCAGCAAUGCCGCGUGGGUGAAGAAGGCCUUCGGGUUGUAAAGCCCUUUAGGCGGGGAAGAAGAUUCUAGGGUGAUAACCCCUAGAAUUUGACGGUACCCGCAGAAUAAGCACCGGCUAACUCUGUGCCAGCAGCCGCGGUAAUACAGAGGGUGCUAGCGUUAAUCGGAUUUACUGGGCGUAAAGGGCGCGUAGGUGGCAAGGCAAGUAAGAUGUGAAAGCCCUGGGCUUAACCUGGGAAGUGCAUCUUAAACUGCCUAGCUAGAGUAUGGUAGAGGGUAGUGGAAUUUCCGGUGUAGCGGUGAAAUGCGUAGAUAUCGGAAGGAACGCCAGUGGGAAGACGACUACCUGACCAAUACGACACUGAGGCGGAAAG